rnacentral:tRNA from 1 species
AGGGGUAUAGUUUAAUGGUAAAACGAAGGUCUCCAAAACCUUUUGAUGUGGGUUCGAUUCCUACUACCCUCC